rnacentral:lncRNA from 1 species
AGUGUAGGCUCCCACUUCGGCCGGGGCAGGUGCGGGCGGGCACUGCUGGCGACAUGGCCGACACGGACCCGGGCUAUCCCCGCUCGUCCAUCGAGGAUGACUUCAACUACGGCAGCUGCGUGGCGUCGGCCAGCGUGCACAUCCGCAUGGGUAUGUGGCGGGGGUCAGGGGGACCAAGUGACCAGAGGGAGACAUAGUUGUCUUCUAGAGGUGUGGGCCGGGUCGCCUAGGUCAGCGGUCCUCAACCUGAGGGUCGCAAGCGGGACCCUUUCACAGGGGGUCGCCUAAGGCCAUCUGCACAUCAGAUAUUUACAUUACGAUUCGUGACAGUAGCAAAAUUACAGUUCUGGAGUAGGGACAGAUAUAAUUGCAUGUUUGGGGUCAGCACACCAGGAGGAUCCAUAUCAAGCAUUGGAAAUCACGGGCUGAUGCCCUCAUUUAUUUGUUCCCCGUGCUGAGACCUUACCAUCCUAGUCAUUACUGUCUCCCCGUGGGGUACAGAACUCGGCAUACGUGUGUGUGAUGACUGAGAAGUUUCCCAGACCGACGCAUAAAGUCACGGCGACUCAAAGUUAUUACUUUGAGUUUAGGCUGUUCGUUGACGCGUAACGAAGCGGAAUUCACUGUCCACCAAAGGUCACUUUACAGAAAUGGACCUGCCUGGGCAGCUCAAACCGGUUCUGGAUUUAAAAAAAAAAAAAAAAAAUGAAGGUGGUUCUGACGCAUCUAGAAUCUUGGUACUUACCUAGCCCGAUAUUCCUGUAAUGAAUUUUGAAAUUAUUUUGACAAGUGAGCUCAGCUUUUAAAAUAUAUUCAUUAUGAAAAAGUACUGGUAGCCAAAAAAUUGCUACCCUAGACACCUUUGAGGUACCAAGCAGUAAUGUUUUGUCGCCCUGUGGUAUUUCCUAUCCAGCCAGAACUUAGUCAUCUUUCAAAGCAAAAGUGAAAUUGUAUCCAUAAGUAACUCGCCAUUGCCAGCCUCCUCUGCCCUGGGCAACUCCCAUUUCUUCAGUCUUUAUGAAACGGUUAGAACUGCCUCAGU